CCCAAGCCCUGGCCUUCCACUUCCGGGGACUCCAUGUCCCAGAAUCCCUGAUCUUGGGCCAAGGCAGCUGAGGCUUCUGGGUGCUAAAGUCCAAGAAAUCCCAGAGGAAUAGAGUUUGGGAAUCCCUGCUCAAGAGAGUGGAGGGAAUAAUGAUAAUAAUAGUAAUAGUAAUAACUUUAUUUCUAACCCUCCCUCUCUCCCCAAAGGGAAUGGCUCUCUUGGACUACAACGCCCAGAAACCCUCCUGGCAUGAGGGUUGGAGGAACCUGGGAGUUCUAUCCCAAGACAAAUAUCUCCCAAGUCCUUGAGGAGGAGGCGGGGGAGGGGGAGGCGGCAGCCUUGGCCUAGGACUGAGACACGAGGAAUCCCCGAAGCCAGAGGGUUGGGAGAGACCCCAAGGGCCACCCAGCCCCACCACCUUCUGCCAGGCAGGGAAACACAAUCCAAAUCCUCCCGACAGAUCUCCAUCCAGCCUCUGACUAAAUCCUCCAAAGAAGGAGCUCCCACCAGACUCUGAGGCAGAGAGUUCCCCUGCUGAACAGCUCUUCUUCUUGCCCUCAGGAAGUCCUUCCUCGUGUUUGGGAGGAAUCCCUUUUCUUGCCGUUUGACCUCCUGGCUCCGUUGUCCCUUAGUCUCCAGAGCAGCAGAAAGGAAGCCUUUCCCCCUCCUCUUCCUCACCAAUGGGACAUCUUUUUGGAUUUUGAAACAUGCCUGCAGUCAAAUCUGGAUGACUGACAGAACUUGGAGGACUCUCCUCAAAAAUAAAACUUGACAAGCCUAGCAAACAUAGUCACAUAGUAUAAAUGUACACAGAAUAAACACUUCAAACAGCUCAGACCUUAUUAAGUAGUCAGAUGGUGUCCAAUUGAGAUCAAUUCCAGUAUCUAGACAGGAUUUAAUAUAUCUAGAUAAUGAUACAUAUCGAGUCGUAUUAGUCUUCCUCCUCUCAGUAGGCCAGAGUGCAUAGAUGUGUUUUUAGUUUGAAGGCAAGGAGGGAGGGGGCAGUUUUUCGUUCUUUUGGGAGGGAUUUCCAGAGGAGGGGAGGAACACGGAGAAGGCCCCCUUUCUCGUUCCCACCAGCCGUGCUUGAGACGGGGGUGGGACCGAGAGCAGGGCCUCCUCCGCAGAUCGCAGUGCUCGAGCCGGUUUGUAAACAGGGACGCGAUUCUGCAAAUAGUCUGCAUCUCCGUUUACAAACCGGUUCGAGCACUGCGAUCCUAAACUCAACAAGCUCUAUGAGGUAUGACGAGCCAGAUGAGAGCCCGAGUCUCUUCUGGUGUGGGAGAAUCAGCCAUCUACAAAGAUGUUGCCAAGGGGAAGCCGAGCACUUGAUGAACCAACAUAGUAUAUUAUUUGAGAACACAGAAAUGUUGGAUUACUCUGACAACUACCAUGUCAGACUACACAGAAAAGCCAUUGAAAUCCACAAGCAUGUGGACAAUUUCAACAGAAAGGAGAAAACCAUGAAAUUGAACACAAUCUGGCUACCAGUAUCAAAAAAGACUCUAAAAUCAGUAAAUAAAAAUCAACACUCAAAAAAUGAGAAUUGCAGGCAUGAAACAAUGGGUCAGCUAACACCUCCCAACAAAGGAUUCCCCCAGGCAGAAAGCAGGCAGGCUUUAAAAAUGAAAUUCAGUGUCAAUCAAGGUGGCCAGCUGCAACAUUCACACUUGCCUCGGGCAGACAAGAGUUCUUUCUCCCACCCUUGUCAUUACACAGAUAUAUAAACCCCACGUGCCUAGUUUCCAACAGACCUCCAUUAUGAAAACGGGUGCCUUUUGGGAGAUUGGAAUGGAGUGAUUUCACCAAAGAAAGACAAACUCUCGGGGAGGGGGAUGCAAAGAAUAUACUGUAUAUACGCAAGUAUAAGCCUCUCCUCCUUUCCCGUGCAGCGCACACCUUCCUCUCCUCGGCACUCGUCUUUCCCACUUUUCUUUAUUCGUAUACACACUGCAUUUCCCCCAAAAUGUAUAGUUAAAAUAAACUAUGGUGAUUAUUGGAAGAAUAUAUAAGCACAUUUACAUUGAAGAAGCUUAGAAUAAUAAUUUAAUCACAGUUGGAAAGUCUUAAAUUGCAGUUGUAUGUAAAUAUUCAAAAACAUUUAACCUUCUGAUGCCUCCAUUAAUCUAAUUUUAUUGCUAUCUAUUUUUAUUUUGAAAUGUACCAGUACCUGCUGCAUUUCCCACCCCGUCUUAUACUUAAGUCAAUAGUUUUUCCCAGUUUUUUGUGUUAAAUUAGGUGCCUCGGCUUUUACUCGAGUAUAUACAGUACACAAUUUUCAGAAAGACAAAAUACUUUCUCUAGAAUGGAAAAGAUAUGGAUAUCUGCCAAACUCAAAACCUGUUCAAAAGACAGAACUCCUACCCAAAACUAUCUCAGAUCAUAAUCCAGUGACUCUAGUAAUUAAAAAGAAAGUAAAAAAUGGCCCUUCCCCAUUUCGGCCCAUUUCGGCACAUGUUGCACUUUGCCUGGGUUCUAUGAAUUAGACUCCAGUGUUAAUAUUGUAUGUUUUAUGUUGAUUUAACGAUUGUUUUUACUGUAAUUGAUGUUUUUAUUGGAUAACUGUUUUAUUGCUGUGUUUUGAUAUUUGAUUGUUUUAUCGGGCAAGGCCCCAUGUAAGCCGCCCCGAGUCCCUUCGGAGAGAUGGGGCGGGGUAUAAAAAUAAAGUUAUUAUUAUUAUUAUUAAAAACACUUAGAUGGCAGCUGAAUGAAUCACUACUGCAAAAGGAGGACGUAAUUGAGAAUUUGAAAGAAAAACUGAAAGAAUAUUUGGAACUUAAUUUAAAUCAAGUUACAGAUAUUCAAACAGUAUGGGAUGCCAGUACAGCUUAUAUUAGAGGAUACUUUAUAAAAUGCAACACUGAAAUGAGAAAGAAUAGACAGAAAUAUUUUCAGAUAAUUUCAGAUGAUAUUAAAAAAAGAAGAGGAGUUAAAGAAAAAUCCUUUGAAUUCAAACAUUCUAACUCAGAUAAAACUCCUACAAAAGCAAUUAUUGUGUUACUAGUUAAUGAAUUGGAAACUAAAAUAAAGAAUGCAAAAAAAAAUAUUUUGAAUCAGCUAACAAACCAAGGAAAUAGUUAGCAUAUACGUUGAGGAAAGAAAGCCCAAAAAUGUAAUUGUCAAUUCUUUAUUUAUGUAUUUAUUUAUUUAUGACAUUUCUACCCCGCCUUUCUCUACCCUGAACGGGACUUACUGUUAAGAUACAACAUGACGAUAAAAUAUUAAUAGAUGAUAUCAAUAUUCAACAGGCUUUAAAACAUUAUUACAUUAAUUUAUAUAAGGCUGACCACAUAUCUCUACAAGACAUUGAGAAUAAUUUAAUUCAGCGAAAGACGCCAAAAAUAAAUGUUCACAGUUCACAGCCUGUUAUGCCUUCAGCUUUGCUGCAUUGUUGGAUUUUAAUCGGUAGGGUUGGAUUUUAUUUUGUGCAGAGUAUCUUUGCGCACCGUCCCCUUUGGACCUGAGGAGGGAUUGUUUGUUGUUGGGCAAGUGUUAAAGCAUUUCUCACCAGGCAAUGGGCUCACCCUCUUCCCCUGGGUUUGUUACAGCACGAGACUUGUUUUUCAUGUUCCAUGAAAUCUUUCUCUGUUCAACUCCUGAAGAGAUUUGCCCCUCAUUUGUCUGCAGGUAACUUCUGAAAAAGCUCUGCAAAGAAUACGUUGUGAGAGCUUUGCCCAAGGAGUGCUCUAAGUCUAAAGGGACUUCAAAAUACACAGCAAUGACAACAAGAAAAAAUAAGUAGUAAAAAUAUAUUUCAAGCUACAAACCUAUGCAGUUAAGAGGAGGAAAUAAGAUUGUGCUGAAAAAAGAGAGGCUUGGGAAAGCGAGCAGAAGGCUACAGCAAUACAAAGACAAAUACAAAGUUCAGGAGGUUAUAUCUGUGAACUCCUGGCAUAAUAUUUGAAUUAUAAAUAUAAAAGAAUGGCAAGUCCUCUACCUCCCUAUCCUAGAUCACACACAGGGGAGAAGUUACAUCAGUGUCUGGAAUGUGGGAAACAAUUUGAUUGGAAAAAUUCUCUUACUGUACAUGAACGGACCCACACAGGGGAGAAGCCAUAUGAAUGUGUGGAAUGUGGAAAGAGCUUCAGUCGGAGUGACAAAUUACGUUCCCAUCAAAGGACCCACACAGGGGAGAAACCCUAUAAAUGCAUAGAAUGUGGAGAAAGCUUCAGUCGGAGUGACAGUCUACGUUCCCAUCAAAGGACCCACACAGGGGAGAAGCCAUAUAAAUGCAUGGAAUGUGGAGAAAGCUUCAGUCACAGUGGCAGUCUACGUUCCCAUCAAAGGACCCACACAGGGGAGAAGCCCUCUAAAUGCAUGGAAUGUGGAAAGAGCUUCAGUCAGAGUGACAAAUUACGUUCCCAUCAAAGGACCCACACAGGGGAGAAACCCUAUAAAUGCAUAGAAUGUGGAGAAAGCUUCAGUCGGAGUGACAGUCUACGUUCCCAUCAAAGGACCCACACAGGGGAGAAGCCAUAUAAAUGCAUAGAAUGUGGAGAAAGCUUCAGUCGGAGUAACAAUCUACGUUCCCAUCAAAGGAAGCACACACGGGAGAAGCCAUAUAAAUGCAUAGAAUGUGGAGAAAGCUUCAGUCGGAGUGACAAUCUACGUUCCCAUCAAAGGACCCACACAGGGGAGAAGCCAUAUAAAUGCAUGGAAUGUGGAGAAAACUUCAGUCAAAGUGGCAGUCUACGUUCCCAUCAAAAGACCCACACAGGGGAGAAGCCACAUAAAUGCAUAGAAUGUGGAGAAAGCUUCAGUCCGAGUAACAAUCUACGUUCCCAUCAAAGGAAGCACACAGGGGAGAAGCCACAUAAAUGCGUAGAAUGCGGAAAGAGCUUCAGUCACAGUGGCAAUCUACGUUCCCAUCAAAGGACCCACACAGGGGAGAAGCCAUAUAAAUGCAUAGAAUGUGGAAAGAGCUUCAGUCGGAGUGACAAGCUACGUUCCCAUCAAAAGACCCACACAGGGGAGAAGCCAUAUAAAUGCAUAGAAUGCGGAAAGAGCUUCAGUCGGAGUGACAGUCUACGUUCCCAUCAAAGGACCCACACAGGGGAGAAGCCAUAUAAAUGCAUAGAAUGUGGAAAGAGCUUCAGUCAGAGUGUCAAUCUACGCACCCAUCAAAGGACUCACAAAGGGGAGAAGCCAUAUAAAUGUGUGGAAUGUGGAAAGAGAUUCAGUGAGAGUGGACAUCUGCGUAUCCAUCAAAGGAUGCACACAGGAGAGAAGCCACAUACAUGCAUGGAAUGUGGAAAGAGAUUCAGUAAGAGUGGAAAUCUACGCACCCAUCAAAGGAUGCACACAGGAGAGAAGCCACAUACAUGCAUGGAAUGUGGAAAGAGAUUCAGUGAGAGUGGACAUCUGCGUAUCCAUCAAAGGACUCACACAGGGGAGAAGCCACAUACAUGCAUGGAAUGUGGAAAGAACUUCAGUGUGAGUGGACAUCUGCGUAUCCAUCAAAGGACUCACACAGGGGAGAAGCCACAUAAAUGCAUGGAAUGUGGAAAGAGCUUCAGUGAGAGUGGACAUCUGCGUAUCCAUCAAAGGAUGCACACAGGAGAGAAGCCACAUACAUGCAUGGAAUGUGGAAAGAGCUUCAGUCAGAGUGGAGAUCUACGCACCCAUCAAAGGACUCACACAGGGGAGAAGCCGCAUACAUGCAUGGAAUGUGGAAAGAGCUUCAGUCAGAGUGGAGAUCUGCGUAUCCAUCAAAGGAUGCACACAGGAGAGAAGCCACAUACAUGCAUGGAAUGUGGAAAGAGCUUCAGUCAGAGUGGAAAUCUACGCACCCAUCAAAGGAUGCACACAGGAGAGAAGCCACAUAAAUGCAUGGAAUGUGGAAAGAGCUUCAGUGAGAGUGGAAAUCUACGCACCCAUCAAAGGACUCACACAGGAGAGAAGCCACAUAAAUGCAUGGAAUGUGGAAAGAGCUUCAGUCAGAGUGGAAAUCUACACACCCAUCAAAAGAUUCACACAGGAGAGAAGCCACAUAAAUAGGACAAGUGCAAAGAAGCAGAAUGGUUGUCCAAAGAACUUCUAACGACUAUGACUCAAAAGGGACAUGAACAGGAAGUGGAAGGGGAAGAAAUCAUAUAACCAUAGAGUUGGAAGAGACCUCAUGGGCCAUCUAGUCCAACCCCCUGCCAAGAAGCAGGAAAUUGCAUUCAAAGCACCCCGGACAGAUGGCCAUCCAGCCUCUGCUUAAAAGCCUCCAAAGAAGGUUCCACAGCUGAACUGCUUUCACAAUGAGGAACUUCUUCCUUAUGUUCAGGUGGAAUCCCCUUUCCUGUAUUUUGAAGCCAUUAUUCUGCAUCCUAGUUUGCAGAGCAGCAGACAAUAAGCUUGCUCCCUCCUCCUUAUGGGAUUUUGGCCUGCAUAAAUAGGGGCAGAGUGUCUAGAUCCAGGGAAGUCAUGCUCCCCCUCUAUUCUGCCUUGGUCAGACCACUUUACCUGGAAUCACACUGUGUCUAAUUCUGGGCACUGCAAUUGAAAGGAGACGUUGACAAGCUGGAAUGUGUCCAGAGGAGGGCAACUAAAAUGAUCAAGGGUCUGGAGAACAAGCCCCAUGGGGAGCGGCUUAAAGACCUGGGCAUGUUUAGCCUGCAGAAGAGAAGGCUGAGAGGAGACAUGAUAGCCAUGUACAAAUACGUGAAGUCAUAGGGAGGAGGGAGCAAGCUUGUUUUCUGCUGCCCUGGAGACUAGGACGCAAUGGAACAAUGGCUUCAAACUACAGGAAAGGAGAUUCCACCUGAACAUCAGGAAGAACUUCCUCACGGUGAGAAGGGCUGUUCGGCAGUGGAACUCUCUCCCU